rnacentral:rRNA from 2 species
GAGUGGCGAACUGGUGAGUAACACGUGGGUAACCUGCCCCGAAGCGGGGGAUAANAUUUGGAAACAAGUGCUAAUACCGCAUAAUUAGUUGGAACCGCAUGGUUCCAACUUGAAAGAUGGCUCUGCUAUCACUUUGGGAUGGACCCGCGCCGUAUUAGUUAGUUGGUGAGAUAAAAGCCCACCAAGACGAUGAUACGUAGCCGACCUGAGAGGGUAAUCGGCCACAUUGGGACUGAGACACGGCCCAGACUCCUACGGGAGGCAGCAGUAGGGAAUCUUCCACAAUGGACGAAAGUCUGAUGGAGCAACGCCGCGUGAGUGAUGAAGGUUUUCGGAUCGUAAAACUCUGUUGUUAAAGAAGAACAAGUGUUAGAGUAACUGUUAACACUUUGACGGUAUUUAACCAGAAAGCCACGGCUAACUACGUGCCAGCAGCCGCGGUAAUACGUAGGUGGCAAGCGUUGUCCGGAUUUAUUGGGCGUAAAGCGAGCGCAGGCGGUUUUGUAAGUCUGCUGUGAAAGCCCUCAGCUCAACUGAGGAAGUGCAGUGGAAACUACAAAACUUGAGUACAGAAGAGGAAAGUGGAACUCCAUGUGUAGCGGUGAAAUGCGUA